rnacentral:rRNA from 1 species
UUUCGAAUCAUUCACAAUGGGCGAAAGCCUGAUGGUGCGACGCCGCGUGAGGGAUGAAGGCCUUCGGGUUGUAAACCUCUGUCACCGGGGAAGAAACGCUUCAAGUUAAUAGUUUGAAGCCUGACUUAACCCGGAGAGGAAGCAGUGGCUAACUCUGUGCCAGCAGCCGCGGUAAUACAGAGACUGCAAGCGUUAUUCGGAUUCACUGGGCGUAAAGGGUGCGCAGGCGGCCAAGUGUGUUAGGCGUGAAAGCCCGGGGCUUAACCCCGGAAUUGCACCUAAAACUACAUGGCUAGAGCAUUGGAGAGGGUAGCAGAAUUCAUGGUGUAGCAGUGAAAUGCGUAGAUAUCAUGAGGAAUACCAGAGGCGAAGGCGGCUACCUGGACAAUUGCUGACGCUCAGGCACGAAAGCGUGGGGAGCAAAAG